rnacentral:tRNA from 1 species
GUUUAAAUAGCUUAAAUAAAAGCAUAAUAUUGAAGCUAUUAAGACAACUAAAAAUUUUUAAACA